rnacentral:lncRNA from 1 species
CUGCCGCUGCUACUUGCGUUGCCUGCUUCAUGCCCCAAAUAAUUUCAGGCAGAUUUUAAUUAAAAGUAAAUAAGCAAGUAACUAUUUACAUGCAGCUCGCAUCUACCUGCCAGUACCCGAAUUAUUUGUGCGCAUUAUUCUGCGGCAGUAUGGAGGAUGAAGAUGUUUUUGUGGCGACAGCGCUUUGCGUUUUAAAUGUACAGAAUUAUUUAAAUGUGUUAAGAUAUGCUAUGGAAAAGAAACGUCGACGUCGAAAAAGACGAUGGUGGAUGACAGCGAUUCAUUGUAAUAGAACGUUAACAAGUAUGAAUAACUUUUUUAAUGAUCUGACAUGUGAGGAAUCGGGAGAAUUUUUUAGCUUUUGCCGAAUGUCCCGAAUAGACUUUGAAUUUCUGCUUAAUAAAAUUGAGCCUAUGAUUAAAAGAGAAACUAAAAUAAGGGUUCCAAUACUACCAAAAAUUCGCUUGGCAAUAACAUUGCGAUAUUUGGCCACUAGGGACAGUUACAAAAGUUUACAUUAUUUAUUUAAAGUUUCAACGGCAGCAAUUUCGCUGAUUGUACCUGAAGUUUUUGGAGCAAUUAAUUCAAUUUUAAAGGACCAAAUUAAGUUGCCAGAUACACCAGAGCAAUGGUUAGCAAUAGAAAAGGGAUUCAGAAAAAAAUUUCCCCGACGUAUCGGAAGCCAUUGAUGGCAAACACAUCGUUAUUAAAUGUCCACCACAUACUGGCGCCGAAUAUUAUAACUAUAAAGGAACGUAUAGCAUAGUUUUGAUGGCUUUAGUUGAUAACGAAUAUAAAUUUAUUUUUGCCGACGUAGGUGGUCAAGGGCGUAUUAGCGAUGGGGGUAUUUUUCAAAACUGGAAAAAAAUUGACACAAAUCAAGUUAAUUUACCACCAGAUGUCCCAUUGCCUGGUAGAGAAACUAGUACGUCUUAUGUGUUUUUAGGCGAUGGGGCUUUUGCAUUACAUAGGAAUGUGAUGAAACCUUUUCCAGGAAAUCAUGACAUGGGCACUAAAGAAAGAACAUUUAAUUAUAAACUUUCAAGCAGUCGUGUCAUUGUUCAAAAUACUUUCGGUGUCUUGACAUCUGUCUUUAGAGUAUUUAAAAAACCCAUUGAAAUAGAUAUAAGCAAGGUACCGAAAAUAACAUUAACUUGUAUUAGAAGAUGUCAACAUUCUCGAAAUUCCUACACCCCUCCAGGGACUUUUUCUGCCAUUGAGGACGGAGUACUUAUUGAAGGCUCCUGGAGACAACAAAAUACAGGUGUAUCUGCCAUAAGAAAUAUACCACAUGUAGCCAGACGAGCUGCAGCUACCGCAAUGCAAGUUAGAUCGGAAUUUGCCGAUUAUUUCAAUAAUGUUGAAUUGUAAUUUAAAAAC